AUGGUGCAUGCGUGACCUAAGCUGCGAUUAUGUUGUUCGAGUAGAACUGCGGAGAAGCCUCGGCUCUCGUGCCCUGCCUCUGAUGAAGCCUGUGUUGGUAUGGUGCUGGGUGCAGAUGCAAUGUGGCUCUGGAUAGCACCUUAUGGACAGUUGUGUCCCAAAGGAAGGAUGAGAAUAGCUACUGAAGUCCUAAAGAGCAAGCCUAACUCAAGCCAUUGGCACACCGGCAUUAGACAGAAAACUGGAAGUUGAAAUGGUGGAGUCCAACUUGUCUGGACCAGCUUAAUGGUUCUGCUCCUGGUAACGUUUUUAUCCACGGAUGGCUUGCUUGGGUAAGGACGUGAAGACAGUUCCUGUCAUACCUUUUUUAAAGGUAUGGAGAGUCGGCUUGACUACACUGUGUGGAGCAAGUUUUAAAGAAGCAAAGGACUCAGAAUUCAUGCUUGAAGAAAUGCAGGCAGACCUGUUAUCCUAAACUAGGGUUUUUAAUGACCACGACAAGCAAGCAUGCAGCUUACUGCUUGAAAGGGUCUUGCCUCACCCAAGCUGGAGUGCAGUGGCCUCUGAAGCUUACUACAGCCUCAAACUUCUGGGCUCAAGUGAUCCUCAGCCUCCCAAUGGUCUUUGUAGACUGCCUGAUGGAGUCUCAUGGCACAAGAAGAUUAAAACAAUGCUCCAAUUUUAAUAAAUUU
rnacentral:lncRNA from 1 species